GGGCAGACUGACAAAAUGGCAUGUGAAACAGAAGUGUUUGUGAUGCAAAGGUGUGUCACUGAAUUCCUCCUUGGAGAAACAGUGACAGUCACUGACGUUCAUCAGUCCCUGCUGAGUGUUGGUGGAGACCAAACAGUGAAUGUGAAUGCAGUGAGGUGUGGUGACGGUGCAUUUCAGCAGCGGCAACAGCAACAGCGGCUCGCCUCCUCUGCUGCAGAGCCAUAUGGAAACUUUGCUCCAGUUUGCCCUAAACUCUGGUGAUGUUCUGUGAAGAGGAGGAUGAAGAAUGGAGAAAAUUGUUUUGACUGGUCAGCAACCUUAUUCCUUCGAUCAUUUGUAUGCAAAAGUUUGUGUCCUUAAGCCAAACGUGUUAUAAGUUUUGGUGUUGCCGAAUCCUGGAUCCUUCAGAUUUCAGGAAAGUUGAUGGAGGUUGAGGAAAAUUGAAGAAAGAAAUACUGUCUGGGAACCAGUUUCAUUUAAUUUUCUCUUUUCAUUCUUGUAACUGCCCAAGUGGAAGCAUUUGCUGCUCUGGGAAGGAAAGGAUUUCCCCAUGGAAGACAGCUUUUUGGCAAGUCAAUAAGUUUCUAACCUGCCAAAUAGUUGUGGUGGCGUUGUCCCAGGAAAGCAUUCAGUACUUCUGUUUUGGAGAACUGAAAACAGAACUCAAAUACAGUACAAAGUUAAGACAAGAACCUUUUGCAGCUUCAACAACAUCUCUUCAGCUAAGUACCUACUUAAUUGAAAAACAGUGCAGUGUGUGGGGGAAGAAAAACCACUCUACCCAAACCUUUCUCUAUGCAGGCUGAGAAAGUGAGCUACAGAUGGAUUCCAGAGGCAUCGUUUCUCAUGGAUCAUUCUUCACUGCUAUUCCUUUAGUCUUAGGAGCACUUUAGCAGCAGGUUUGACAAACAGCUCAUCUCCUGCAUUAUGUUGGGCCAAAACCUGUGAAGGUUUAAAGCUUGAACUUGUGAACUCAGUGACUGGUGCUAUGGUCUGCAGUAUUGCAUUCACCCCAUCCGCACUGCUAAAUGAAAAAGUUUUUGCGUUUCUGGUGUCUGUGUGGAGGACUCAGCAAGCAAACAGCGUGUCCUGGCAGGCAACAUCUGUGCUCUGCACCUGCUGGAAGAUAGUCAGUGCCAAGUGGUGGAAAGACAAUGACAUCUGAAUUUCUGCAAUGCGUGAUACAUGCAUAUCCUAAACAUAUGGAAAUAUCUGUGACUGCAGAUGACUACCUCCAGCUCCUUUUGAAGAACGAAAUUAGUGGAACUUUCUAUGCCCUUUAAGGAGAGAUGUCAGAAAAAAAAGAUAAGUUUUGUGGGGGUUUUUCUGUUGUUUGGUUGGUUUGGGUUUCCUUGUUGGUUUGUUUUUAAAUGCAGAGUUAAUAGUUUUGUAGUCUUCAAAGUCUGUGUUGUCUAAAACACUGGUCAAAGUGGAUCAGUGAGACUCCACAGGAAGACUUGCUUGUUUUGUGCAAAGCUAAAUUUUAUCCCUUUCAUCUACGAAGAGAACUGUCCUUGCUGACACGUGAAGGGCCUUGUACAUCAUCUUCUGUGCCAAAGCUGCAAGAGGACUGUGGCUAUCACACUUAAUCUGUCUAUCAUCAUGUUUUGUAUUUCCUGACUUUGUUCAUCUCUGUUUACUUCUCAUCUGCAGCCUGGUUUCAAAUUUUUGUGACACUGAGUAAAUCCAGAAGAAGGUUUUUUUCCUGUACUGUUAAUAGUCUGUGCAGACUAUUCAAAUCCUUUUAGCACACUUUGUGAAGCUUUUUAAUAAAUAAUUUUUUUCAUUAAAAAAUUUAUAUCUUUCCUCCAGGCAAGAAAGAAGAUCUAUUCAAGAUCUUUCAGUAGUUGUUGGUUUGUUGUUGUCUGUUUGUUUGGAAACAUUUAUUUAUUCAAAGUGUUUUAUUUCAAGUACAUGUUAGCAAUCUCCACAGAUUAUUAACAGUGAAUCCGUUCCUCAAAAGGUAACAGUAAUUUAGUGAUAAUCAUUAGACCAGAAAUAUUCUUCUUUGUACUGAAAAAUUAAGCCAGAAAAGCUUUUUUUCUUAGGCUCACUGGAAAAUCAAGUUGAUUAAUUGCAAUGUGCUUAUCAAAACAUCUGCCCUUCAGAACUGGGCUGCAAAGUGAUGCCAUCUUCAUGCUGAGAUUACAGCUGGAUAUGAUGAUGCCAUCUACUCCACUGUCCAAUAACAUUCUUUUUCUAAUCUAACCAUGUUAUUCUUGGAUUGUUUGUAGCUGCAUUAUGAUCACUACUUUGCAUCCGUAGGUUGAGAGAUCGUUGUUGUAUUUGAAAUGUUACAAAAUACUUACUUUCCUCUAGAGUCCUGCACUUUCCAUGCAAGUGAAGCUGCUAAUAAGUUGACAUAAUAUACAUGCUUUUUGAUCUCAACCUCAUUUAAAACAAAACAAACAAAAACCCCCCCUGCAAAUUAUGGAGAACUGGAGAACUAAUUCUGGGUGAAAUCUCUAGAACUACACCCAGGUUUGCUUAUUCUGAAUUGAUUUGCCUGUUCACAGUGUCCUUAUGCUUCACAGUUGUCUUAUGAUCCACUUCAUAUCUAGACUGGUUUACUGUAGCGAGGAGUGGCAGCAGACAUUCCAAUGGCUGUAUGCAAUAUCAUAAGGGAACAGGAAUAUCAGAAAUGUGUGUGUGUAGAGCUAUCUAGAAUACAGGUUAGUCAGUUCUGUCCCCUUGUAAGCAAGAGAGCAUUUCUAACUUCUCUCAGAUACGAACAGAUAAAACAACUCUUUACCUCAUUACCAGCAAACAAAACUGUCCUCUAUGUAAAGGCAAACCCUCUGAAAAAGCUUCAAAAAGACUUGCACUCCACCUUUACCAUAAAUUUGGCCUAUGUCAUUUAAGCCCAUCUAUAUCUAUUAUUUUCAUAGCAUUUGCACACCUCUGGCACAUACAGCAGUCCAGAAGUGAGAUAUUUUGAACAUUUAAAAUGCAUUUUUUAUUAUAAAUUGCAUCCUGCUCGUGGAUAGCAAAGCAUUUUGUUGAUUGUUUGGGGAGCCAUUAAAGGUCUCUGAUUAUACAAUCAAGAAAGUCUCUGUGAAGACUUGUCACAGAUAUUUACUGAUUAUAUAAGGCAUCAUUCUAAUACUCAUUGUAGCCUACAAUAUAAGAAAGGUAUUUUUUUUGCCAAUUACUUGUGUAUCUGACCGUGUAAAGUAAUGAAGUCCAGCCAUUCAAAAUUUUGCUCAGAAUGGUUAAAAUAAUUCUAUCACCUGAAACUGAUGUGAAAUGAGGCAGAGCUGAAUUUACACCAGUUGGAUGGUACAGUUACUGUUACAGAAUUAUGAUGUUGAAUAGACAAGGGAGGAGUGUUCUAAAGAACUCAGAACCAUUUCCUCUGGAAACUUCCAUUUUCAAUGCUGCAGUGUGCAACAAAGAACAAAUAAAAUUACCAAGUAGGACAAAAAAGGGCUGUUCUUUACAAAAAAGAAAAGAGAAGAAAAGAAAAGAAAAGAAAACUAACUACAGUGCAAGAGAGAUUUCGGUUGACAGGCUAAAUACUGGCAUGUAAAAGCUGAAUUUAGCAUAGGUUCUCAGCACACACAUUACGGUAAUUAAUGGAAUGAAUCUAUCUUUAGCCAACCUGCAUCACCUCUUGAAUCCCUCUGUUUGACCUAAUACUGAGACAGAGACCUUUAAUUAGAAUGGUUUAUUAUAAGUGAGUCCAAGUGCACAGAGAGAUUAAGAAGCAGCAUGCAAGCAAAUGAGAGCAUAAUAACCAGACAGAGAUGCUCAGGUUUUAAUAGAAGAAAGUGACCAACCCCAAAAACUCUUCUGUAGAAACUUGGCAUUGAAUAAAUGACCCUGUGUGUAAUGGCAGCUACACUGUGAAAAGCUACACACGGGUUUACCCCUAAUUGGAAGCCAG
rnacentral:lncRNA from 1 species